rnacentral:rRNA from 1 species
CGGAGGGUGCAAGCGUUAUCCGGAUUCACUGGGUUUAAAGGGAGCGUAGGUGGGCUGGUAAGUCAGUGGUGAAAUCCCCGAGCUUAACUUGGGAACUGCCAUUGAUACUAUUAGUCUUGAAUAUUGUGGAGGUCAGCGGAAUAUGUCAUGUAGCGGUGAAAUGCUUAAAGAUGACAUAGAACACCAAUUGCGAAGGCAGCUGGCUACACAUAUAUUGACACUGAGGCUCGAAAGCGUGGGGAUCAAACAGGAUUAGAUACCCUGGUAGUCCACGCCCUAAACUAUGGAUACUCGACAUACGCGAUACACUGUGUGUGUCUGAGCGAAAGCAUUAAGUAUCCCACCUGGGAAGUACGAUCGCAAGAUUG